GAUACCAGGGUCAAAAGGUCCUGCGUUUCAUGCCUGCAUGAAACAGCAUGACUUUGAGACACGUAAAACAUGAGAAAGCAGCCCGGACAGGGCGGAUUUCGAAUGCUUUUCGGGUUGCGGGAGCACGCAGUGCGCAGCAAUCCGCAGGUAUC
rnacentral:sRNA from 1 species